rnacentral:lncRNA from 1 species
UAUAGCACUGUCAGUCACUGUACACAACCUCCUAAAAGCAGAUGAUGCAAUAAUAGGACUGUUCCAUGGCAGCACAUGACACAGUUGUAUUCCAGUGACCAUGAAGAAAGUGGUAAAGCCAAAAACUGGGAGGAAGGAGAGCUCCUGAGAGGUCAGCGUGGCUGAUCAGGGAAGGCUGACAGCAGGAAGAGGGGAGAUGCUCCUAAGAACAGUUUGAACACACCGAUGCAUAAACAAACCUCCCUUCCUGUUAGUAUCUGACACACGAGCCACACAAGGUGACAGUGAAAAAGACAAGCAAAUGUAAAGGAGGUGAUAGACUCUUAGAAGCUACCGUACUCGCUCGUGGAUAGAGUGAUGGCGGCAGCCAACUCUGCCAAACCUGCUGCUCCUGGCAAGUCCCACAGCCAGUGCCAUGUUGGGCACGGUCAUCUCUCUUGGACUCUGACACUGCCUCGCGGCAGCCCUUGUUCCUGCAGCCUCACCCCAGUGGCUUGUUCUAUGCUACUAACAAAUUAGAAUUGGUUGCCUCCUGCCUCCUGUCUCCUGUUUCCAAACUUGAACAGCUCCAGUGGUCUCAGGAUAAAGUCCAGCCUCUUCCCCAGGAUGUUCAAGGCACUCUGGGAUCCAAGUCUUUUUUGUUUUUGUUUUGUUUU